CAUAGAUGUUACUUUACAUUCCAGAUGCUACUCACAAGCGUAAAUGCAGCAAGAGGAGCCUCACAAGGAAGAAGAAUUGAGUUUAGUGUGUGUAGGUGAG